GCUGGGCGUGGUGGCACACGCCUGUAAUCCCAGCACUUUGGGAGGCCGAGGUGGGAGGAUCGCUUGAGCUCAGGACUUUGAGACCAGCCUGGGCAACAGAGCGAGACCCCAUCUCUG
ensembl:misc_RNA Metazoa_SRP Metazoan signal recognition particle RNA